CCUUACCUGAGAAACAUUGCAGAUGUAGCGUUUGUGUCAUAUGUGCACCAGAGAGUGAAAGGGAGGAGGGAGGCUAUGUCUAUGCUCAGGGUUCUGAUCUAUGGACAACUGAAUGAUUAGUAGUCUAACAUU